CAAGAAUAUAAUUCUUAAGCUGAAUAUAAUUCUUAUGUCUAAGCAAGCUGAAUCGUGUCUUCUGAACAUGGUGUAGUUGCACACAUGAACGCACAGCAUUUAUAGUUACUGGCACAAGAACUGCUUGAGAUUAAGCAUGAUGUUCCUGGCAGCACUGAUCUAUUCCGGAGAGAAUAUUGAACACUGAAGACAAUCCACUUGGAGCUUGUUUUCUUCUUAGCAAAACUGGCCUUUGGACAAGGAACAGCCCAGGCAUCAACCACUGACAAAAUGCACCGUGUUCAGACAGGACAAGCAGGAUACAAGAAAAAAGACUGUCAAAUGUUGCCAUUAGAGGAACAUAUUAUGGACAAGUGUUUACAUGUAAAAUACUAACUCGCAUCACUUCACAAUGUAAACUUGUCUUAACAUGGUAAGUAUUCUAAAAGUCGGCAAACUAUAAUCUGUAAUUUUGAUGCUAA